CGAACGGGUGAGUAAUGCGUGACCAACCUGCCCCAUGCUCCAGAAUAGCUCUUGGAAACGGGUGGUAAUGCUGGAUGCUCCAACUUGACGCAUGUCUUGUUGGGAAAGUGUUUAGUGGCAUGGGAUGGGGUCGCGUCCUAUCAGCUUGUAGGCGGGGUAAUGGCCCACCUAGGCUUCGACGGGUAGCCGGCCUGAGAGGGCGGACGGCACAUUGGGACUGAGAUACGGCCCAGACUCCUACGGGAGGCAGCAGCU
rnacentral:rRNA from 1 species